CUGCUCGCAUCGGCAGCACGUGGGCUAACGUGGGAACAAUACAGAGAUCAGCGUGGCCCUUGGGCAAGCAGGACGUGCAAAUUCAUGAAGCAAUCCGUAUUUUU